AUCAACAACGUAGCAUUAAUGCAAUGAAUCCCAUUAUAACUCCAUAGUUAAGUGCGCUCAGGCUAGAGUAGUACUAGGAUGGGUGACUGCUUAGGAAGUCCUAGUGUUUUACAUG
rnacentral:rRNA from 1 species